CCGAGGUUAAGGCUCCAGGGCUGCUACGAAGGAAAGAGGGUUCUUCACUGCGGCGGCCGCCUCAUUCCCGAGAACAACCACCGCCGGCGUCCUGUGGCCACACCCCGGCGGGCCGAUCCUGGCUACGCCCACGCGGCCCCCUCCAAUCCUGCCGGCCUGGCCAAUGGAGGAACUACGAAUGGCACGACCUGCCCAAGCUUGGCAGUCGCCAGUCGCACUGGGCUUGGACGGCUGGAAAGACUUUGUUGGAAGGGGAGGCAGGGAGAGGGUGCUGCACCCCUGCCAACCUCCCUUUUUCCCUGGAGUUGCCGAACCACAGCGCAGCCAAUUGGCUCAGAGAUGUGGCGGGUUGCCGCUUCCCUGGGGGUCUAUGCGGCACUCUUCUGCCUGGUGACUGACGCUUUGGAAAUGAGGUUUAUGACGUCAUCGCUUCCGCCGACCAAUAGAAAACGCUCCCGCGGAGAGGUGUUCCUCCCCCUUCGACUCUGCUUCUUCACGCGCGUGAGCGAGCGAGCGCGCGCGAAGGGGGUGGGGGAAAUCGCGAGCACGGUGGCGCGCAUGAGCGGCGAGGCUCCUCCCCCUUGCCUAUAUAUAAAGGGCUGGCGCGGGGCUCGGAGGCGCCAUUUCGCGCUGGAGUGGAGCAGCCUCUAGAACGAGCUGGAGGAUUCUGCGUAUCUACACAGAGCCUUCGAGUCGUCUGGGGCCGCCAUUACAAUCCACGUCCAUCCGCUUGGAAAUGGCCUUCGUCUCGGCCUAUGACCGGCCCCGGCGGACAGUACAGACCCCAUAGAAGCCCCCGAAGCUCCCCUUUUUCGGGCCCCGCCCAGUUCUCGGAGUCUGUCCACCCCCUCUACUCCGCCCUCAAGAGGAUUUCAAAGAUGGAGGCGGCGGCUCCCUAAACCAUUUUUCGUGUUCAUCCGCCUCCAUCCGAGAUCGAAACGGGACGUCGUCCGCCCCGGACGGUCCUGGCAGGAAGAGGGGAUCCUUGCAGACCAACGGCGGGCAGUAUUGGCGACGGUGUCUAGGAUCGGGGGCCGUCCUGGGGUUUGAAGAGCCCGUCCCCUUUCGCUCGCCCGCCUCAGCUGAGGCCGCCGCCAUUUUCUCGCUGUCCGCCUCCUGCGGAGCGCGCCAAGCUGCUGGGAGUUCUCCGAGGGACAGCGGAGGAGAUUGCUUUCGUGCCAGCCCGGCGGGGUGGGUUGUCGCCUGGAGGGCCGAGGGCAGCGGCCCCCGCCCUCCCCCCACUUCCCGGGUUAUGCUGGACCGGGAGGUAAGGGGAACCGAGGCCACCCGGACUUUCCGCGGCUGAGGGCAGC
rnacentral:lncRNA from 1 species